rnacentral:rRNA from 1 species
GAUGAACGCUGGCGGCGUGCCUAAUACAUGCAAGUCGAGCGAACGGACGAGAAGCUUGCUUCUCUGAUGUUAGCGGCGGACGGGUGAGUAACACGUGGAUAACCUACCUAUAAGACUGGGAUGACUUCGGGAAACCGGAGCUAAUACCGGAUAAUAUUUUGAACCGCAUGGUUCAAAAGUGAAAGACGGUCUUGCUGUCACUUAUAGAUGGAUCCGCGCUGCAUUAGCUAGUUGGUAAGGUAACGGCUUACCAAGGCAACGAUGCAUAGCCGACCUGAGAGGGUGAUCGGCCACACUGGAACUGAGACACGGUCCAGACUCCUACGGGAGGCAGCAGUAGGGAAUCGUCCGCAAUGGGCGAAAGCCUGACGGAGCAACGCCGCGUGAGUGAUGAAGGUCUUCGGAUCGUAAAACUCUGUUAUUAGGGAAGAACAUAUGUGUAAGUAACUGUGCACAUCUUGACGGUACCUAAUCAGAAAGCCACGGCUAACUACG